rnacentral:rRNA from 1 species
UACGUAGGGGGCAAGCGUUGUCCGGAUUUAUUGGGCGUAAAGCGCGUGUAGGCGGUCAGAUAGGUCUGCUGUGAAAACUCGAGGCUCAACCUCGAGCUGUCGGCGGAAACCAUCUGGCUAGAGUCCGGAAGAGGAGAGUGGAAUUCAUGGUGUAGCAGUGAAAUGCGUAGAGAUCAUGAGGAAGACCAGUGGCGAAGGCGGGUCUCUGGACAGUUCCUGACACUGAGGCACGAAGGCCAGGGGAGCAAACGGG